GAAUCAAAAGGUAACCAAAGGUUGACUUUGUUAACUAAUAGGUGGGUCAAACCGACGGUUCCCUACUUUGUCCGUGGUUUUCGCAACCUAUAAACAUCCAUAGAAAGUGGGAACCGCAAGCAAAGUUUCGGGAUAAGGAACCGUAGGUUACGACGUACUUCAGUAGGGCGAUUCAUAGGAAUUAGUUAAUUAGUUCAAAAGUUGUUGUACAACAUAAUGCCGUUCGCUACUUAAAUAGUAGUACUUUAGAUUUAGUGGCUUUUUGUAAUCUGAAAAAGGUGAGCAUGCCGGUCGCCCGGUCGCCUUUGCUAUUAGGAGUUGUCCAACAGAAUGCUGUUCGCCCUAAUGUUGGACAACUCCUAAUAGCGAAACAUCGGACUCAACUGGCGGAUAAACGCCUACUAGUUUCCAAAGUCAACCUUAUUGUAUUGGUCUUUGCCUUUGGAGCUCAAGUAGCCCGUUGAUCACUCUUUAUAAUAGAGUGUUGCCUUAUAACCGGUUAAUUAAUUACCAAACAGUACUAACUAAAAACAACUACAUCUCUGUUCAGUUCCUACAAACUCAAAUAAAGUCAACUACAGCUUUAAGGGCCACUAUAGAAGCUAUCAAUCAGUGGACUGACAGUUCAUAAACUCCAACUACACUCUUGAUUCAUCAAACUACACCCCCUACAACUCAAACUUUCAGUGAACAACUCAGUUUAGUGGCUUUUGUUUCUUUAUGACACCCAGUGAACUAUAAAAAAGUCAAAGUGGCUUGGGCAAAGAAAGGCAAGGCUUUCAGUGAACAACUCAGUUUGGUUUUUUCAAGCUUCCGACAGAGCCACUAUAGAAGCGAACAGUGGGCCCAAAGGCCUCUUUGGUUGAAAGGCUACCGACGAUCUAAAGGCUUUCGCCCUCUCCUUAGGCUCUCGAUAAACAUGCGGGCUGCUGUUCGCCUAACUUAACUGAGUAGCGCCUACUGUUGUAGUGAACGCGAAGCCAGCGAGAUAAGUACUACAGCACUGAGCGAGCCUUUGGGGGGAAGCAAAGCCAAAGCUUCGUAUACUAAAUUGAAAUGGCUUCGCUCUUUGGCUCGCUUUUUGGCUCGCUCCGUACUUACGCACUUCUCUCGUUCAGUGCUACACUUCGCUUCCUCCCUUCUGGCUUUGCUUCUACN
rnacentral:lncRNA from 1 species